AAACCUAAGUAAAGCGGCGCACGGGUGAGUAACACGUGGAUAACCUGCCUCGAAGUGGGGAAUAACCCCGGGAAACCGGAGCUAAUACCGCAUAAUCUGACGAGAUCUGUGGAUUUUGUCAGCAAAGGAGCAAUUCGCUUUGAGAGGGGUCCGCGGCUGAUUAGCUAGUUGGUGAGGUAAUGGCUCACCAAGGCCACGAUCAGUAGCCGGUCUGAGAGGACGGUCGGCCACACUGGAACUGAGACACGGUCCAGACUCCUACGGGAGGCAGCAGUGGGGAAUUUUUCGCAAUGGGGGCAACCCUGACGAAGCAACGCCGCGUGGGUGAUGAAGUAUUUCGGUACGUAAAACCCUUUCGACGGGGACGAAACCGCAAGGUUGACGGUACCCGUAGAAGAAGCCCCGGCUAACUCCGUGCCAGCAGCCGCGGUAAUACGGGGGGGGCAAGCGUUGUUCGGAAUUACUGGGCGUAAAGGGCGCGCAGGCGGUUUGCUAAGUUGGAUGUGAAAACUCUGGGCUUAACCCAGAGCCUGCAUCCAAAACUGGCAAACUUGAGUACUGGAGGGGAAAGCGGAAUUCCUGGUGUAGCGGUGAAAUGCGUAGAUAUCAGGAGGAACACCGGUGGCGAAGGCGGCUUUCUGGACAGUAACUGACGCUGAGGCGCGAAAGCUAGGGGAGCAAACAGGAUUAGAUACCCUGGUAGUCCUAGCCCUAA
rnacentral:rRNA from 1 species